rnacentral:rRNA from 1 species
UGGAGAAUUGAGGGGGGCUGCUCCUAGUACGAGAGGACCGGAGUGGACGCAUCACUGGUGUUCGGGUUGUCAUGCCAAUGGCACUGCCCGGUAGCUAAAUGCGGAAGAGAUAAGUGCUGAAAGCAUCUAAGCACGAAACUUGCCCCGAGAUGAGUUCUCCCUGAGACUUUAAGUCUCCUGAAGGAACGUUAAAGACGAUGACGUUGAUAGGCCGGGUGUGUAAGCGCAGCGAUGCGUUGAGCUAACCGGUACUAAUGAACCGUGAGGCUUAACCUUACAACGCCGAAG